UCUCGGGCCCUCUAACCAGGCUGGAAGAUCCUUUUUCCAGAGGGAUCCCCCCAUACCAGAAAGAGAGGAAUGGGGAACCGAGACGUGAAGCAGAACCUGCCAAGGUCCCAACCCUUGUCACUGGACUGCUCUUCCUCGUGACUGCCCUCUGUCCGUCAAACUUAAGCACAAACAUGUAGAGUUUUUCUUGUUUCUUUACAGCUCCUGCAUCAGUGACAUCAUGAUGCUGAUGAGGUCAUGAGAUGUCCUUGGAGAAAGUGGGAACUCCCCCCUUGCCUCCCCGAUCCUGCUCACGGAGCACUGGGGUGGUCCCCGACUUUCUGUUGUCCAGCACAACUUCCAAGGCACCGCUUCUGCCUGAGGAAAUAUCAUGGGGUGCUGCUGAAGACCUGCGAGGCCAAGAUGAGGAGAGGCUGUGGGUUCCAGUGUGGAGCGAGAGAGACCUCCGCCUCCACCUGGCAGUCAGGUGGGGCACCAUGCUUAGAAGGGCCCACCUUGGUUUCGUGUUCGUUUGUCUCCAUCCUGAAAUAUCAAAUCAUUUUUAACAGAAGGCCCUGAACUCUCAUUUUUGGCUAGGCCUUGAAAAUUCAUCCUAGAGAAAGGCCACAGCUACCCCGAGAUCUGGAGACCAGCGGCAAGCCGUGGGGAAGGAACCAGUCCCAGGGUCUUCAUCAGCCACCCACCUAGAAGUGCUCACGGCCACAGAAAGAGCUUGCAGGGUGUCACCCACACAGAUGCCGCCUGUGGUCCAGUGACAGACAGAGGAAGGAUCUCGAGCUCAUUAAAGAAACCAAACGAGACCUCUUGACUGACAAGGUGUCUACAGGGAACUCACAAAUGCAUUCCGUGAUCCCUAAAGUCUAGAGAGCAAAGUCGAACGCCCACAGACCCCUUAGAUCUCCUCUCCUUCCCCAGCCCACUCCAGCCUGGGCAGAGGCAGAUGGCCGCCUAGUGAAGACGUGGGAGAAGAAGUUGCUGUAGAGGAGAACUCAACCAUUCCCAGUGCAGAUCUCCACAGGCAGAGGGUGGAGAAGAACCAGGAGAGAAAUUUUAACUCCAAGGGAAAUUCAGAAUUUUGAUGAUUAACACUGGUCUGGACAAUUAAGUUGUAAACUUGAAGUAUUUUUUAUCACCAAAAAACACUAAAAAAAAAUAAGGACUUUCCUUACCUGAGAGCGGCCAGAAACAUCCUGUGAUCUGUCUGAGAUGCAGCUGAGGAAGCAGAUCUAUCUACAGGGAGGCGUUUUGAAUGGCGGUCAUGGAAAAGACAGCAUAGUUUUCUCCCACGGCCACAGAGUUGCCCUUCCAACUCAACAAAGACAGCUGGGAAAGACCUUCUCUUGUAGAUCGUAUUAGUAAUUUCCCACAGAAGCUAUCUUUCUUGACCUUGUCUUUGAACCAGUAGCAUAAGAGUGAAAAAAGUCUUCAAAAACUAUAUUAACCUCAUAAAAUAAAUUGUGUGUUAAUUAGUAUGAGAGAAACAUCCUAUGAAGAUGCUGCUCCGGAAGGCUCCAUUCAAAGUGACCAGUAUUAUUUGGUAACAGAGCAAAGGCCAUCACCAAGCUUGGGACUAAAACUAAAGCAACACUUGGCGAUAAUGGAGUCUCAGUUGUAGGAGCUUGUCCUACCAGGGUCAUACCAAUAUUGUUAAAGAGAGGAAAUUAAAUGCACAAACAAGAAGGUCUCAAAGUACAAUUCAGAGUACAUUAAUGUGGUGAAAGAAAUGCAUAUUAAGGAAAUCCACAUUUCAAGCUGACCUCCCGUCCUGGACUCAAAGGGACACAUAUAGGAAGUGGUCUGGAGGACACCCUGUUGAGCCAGGACUGGAAUCUGAAAAGUCCAAGUCGAGCUAUCAGCAGAUUUGGCACCUAACGAAGUCCAGCUUCCUGGCUCAUGGAUGAGGAUUUCUUGCUGGGUCUGCACACGCUGCAAAAGGCAAGGGGGUUUCUCUGGCUACUUUCGUAAGAUCUCUAAUUCUGUAAAUCAGGGCUCCAUCCCCGUGACCUAAUCACUUCCA